rnacentral:rRNA from 1 species
UACGUAGGGUGCAAGCGUUAAUCGGAAUUACUGGGCGUAAAGCGUGCGCAGGCGGUUAUGUAAGACAGUUGUGAAAUCCCCGGGCUCAACCUGGGAAUUGCAUCUGUGACUGCAUGAGCGUAGAGUACGGGUAGAGGGGGGAUGGAAUUCCGCGUGUAGCAGUGAAAUGCGUAGAUAUGCGGAGGAACACCGAUGGCGAAGGCAAUCCCCUGGACCUGUACUGACGCUCAUGCACGAAAGCGUGGGGAGCAAACAGG